UGACACUCUCACACAACAUCACAAACAGUCUGGGGAAAUAUAGUUGAUGAAACUAUUUGAUGAUGGCUGCAGAAUGAGCUGGAAACAAAGUACAUACUCAAAAACAUCAGAAUCUCACCAUCAAAAUUAAAGAUAGAGAGAUUGGUUAGUAAGAUCAACAGGUAGCUGCCUGGGUCUACUCCUACUGAGUAAUUCCAUUAGCAGCUAGAGAGAGGGAAUUUAAAGUAAAUUUGUUACACCUGCAGCUGAUAGAAUGCUAAUGGGCUGUAAACAGUGUGAACCUGUAAACAGGUGCAGGGGGAAAAUUAAACAGACCCAAGCCAUCACCAAUUCACCGUGCUAUCUAUCAAGGCUUACCUAGGAUUCUAAAAAACAAUUUCUUCACAGUCGCCCUGUCCUUGGGCUUAGAAACUACCUAUGCCAAGUGUAGGAAAAACAGAGCAAUUUUUUAGACAAAAUGUACACGUCUUAUGUUGUGUUAGGUUCAGAGAUGCUUGUAAACUUAUUGGGAGCACUGCAGAGGUGAGGAAGCAGUAGCUAGGUGUUGGGUAGCCACUGCCCUUUCGGAACACAGGCACGAACCAGAUGUCAGACUGAAUAUAGCUGGAGAGGGCCCAGACCAGGAAGCUAUGUGGGGCAGGAGAGAAGACAGUGGGGUGGGAAGCCAGACGUAAGUGCAAGCAGCAAAUCACAUUUGUAAUUAAUCACAAUGUUAAACACAUUUUCCUAGAAGUAAGGUUGCAGUGAGAGAUUGAUAGACCACAAAACCCACGUACCUCAAAAUCAGGCUGGGUGCUUGCAUAGAGAAGACAUACAGGUGGAACAAUACUUUGGCUCUGAUUGCGUGCUGCCAUGUGCAUGAUGGCAAACAGCUCCUCCUGCUCCAUCUUUGAGAGCCAGCCUGUGUGAUUCAGGGGAUGUCUUUGGAAAUUCUUAUGGAUGUUAUGGUUUUCAUGAGUCUGUAGUGGCCUUAUGUCACGAAGGCAAAGGCCGCCUGGGAUGGGAUGCCUGGGACUAGCUUAAUAUUCAUCAGUACUUGCAUCAGGUUCAUGGUGCCCCUCUCUGAUGUUGCAAUCUGCUCAAUAUACCUGUUCUCAGCUGUACUUCAGCAAAAAAACAACCAACAGAACAAAACAAAACAAAACAAAAAACACUGCCUUGUUCCUGUGUAAGCAAUACUGAAGCUUUCUUCUCUCUUCUCCUGCCUGCAUUUAUCGUCUUUUAUGAAGCCACAGAAACAGAAGUGCCACAGAUGCUUUCCCGCCUUUUGCUCCUGUCAGGAACGCUUGGGUCUAGCUACUCCCUAUGGCCAAAGCACCAGGAGUGGUGGGAGCUCUCCAUGGGGGUCCAUCAGGGCAGGGCCUUGCAGCCAGGGCCCAUCCUGCCAGGAGCUGGGGGAAGCAGGCACUCCCAGGGAGCUAGGCCAGGCCAGGCCAGGCCACGUCAUGAGCCUGAGCGUUGGCUUAGCUCAGCAGGACUCGUGGCUGGGGAGAUGAAGCCCAGCCUUGCUGCAGUCUCUGUAUGGGGCUGACAUGGAGGCCUGGGCCUGGGCAGGGUUGCCCAGGGUUGCUAGGCCUGGAGAAUCAAGACUAGCAGGACCUUCAUGGCUAUGGCAGUCUCAUUCUCUCUGGAAAGACUUGUGAGUCUCUGGUGAGAGAAAUCCUGAUAAAAAAUUAUGUAAUGUUUGAAAGCGCUCCAUAAUUUGGGAGUAUGAGAAAUUUGUGUCUAAGAAUGAUUUCACACUGUGUUAUGGCAAGAGCCGUAGAAGUUGUGCAGGUGGAUGCAAUACAUCCAUAACGUUUUAGGCACAACUUCAUUUGUACAUCCAGUCCUCUGGAAAAGUUCUUCACCAGAGUGUGUUCAGGCACUGGAACAGGACAGUGGUCAUGGCAUAGUUCAAGAAGUGUCUGGACAACAUUCUCUGUCUGAUGAGAGCUCUCAGGUCUGAUUUUUGGGUGAUCCUGUGGGAAGCCAGGAGUUGGACUCAAUGAUCCUUAUGAGACCCUUCCAACUCAGGAUAUUCUAUGAUUCUUUGAUUCUCUGCUUUUAAUUAAUACUUAAGGUAAAAAUUGCAAGACAACCACUCUCCCCUUAGUUACUAAUUUGAUACUUUUUUUUCCUCUCUUUACUAUUCAAAUAACCCGAUGAAAAUGUUGCUGCUGAUUGACCAAACUAACUGUCCUCAUAGGUACCAGACAGGAAGACUGAUGGGAUGGAGAGCUAUUAGAAAAAGCUACUGACAAGGUAACACCAUUGACCACAGAAAAUGUUGCACAGCACAGCCAACAGGAAAAGAGGAAGACAAACAGUGUGGUUCAACACAGAAU